rnacentral:rRNA from 1 species
AUUGAACGCUGGCGGCAUGCUUUACACAUGCAAGUCGAACGGCAGCGCGGGCUUCGGCCUGGCGGCGAGUGGCGAACGGGCGAGUAAUGCAUCGGAACGUGCCCAGUAGUGGGGGAUAGCCCGGCGAAAGCCGGAUUAAUACCGCAUACGACCUGAGGGUGAAAGCGGGGGAUCGAAAGGCCUCGCGCUAUUUGAGCGGCCGAUGUCGGAUUAGCUAGUUGGUGGGGUAAAGGCUUACCAAGGCGACGAUCCGUAGCUGGUCUGAGAGGCCGACCAGCCACACUGGGACUGAGACACGGCCCAGACUCCUACGGGAGGCAGCAGUGGGGAAUUUUGGACAAUGGGGGCAACCCUGAUCCAGCCAUGCCGCGUGCGGGAAGAAGGCCUUCGGGUUGUAAACCGCUUUUGUUCGGGAAGAAAUCCUCUGGGCUAAUACCCCGGGGGGAUGACGGUACCGGAAGAAUAAGCACCGGCUAACUACGUG